rnacentral:rRNA from 1 species
AACGGGUGAGUAACGCGUGAGGAACCUGCCUCAAAGAGGGGGACGAACAGUUGGAAACGACUGCUAAUACCGCAUAAGCCCACGGGUCGGCAUCGACCAGAGGGAAAAGGAGCAAUCCGCUUUGAGAUGGCCUCGCGUCCGAUUAGCUAGUUGGUGAGGUAAUGGCCCACCAAGGCGACGAUCGGUAGCCGGACUGAGAGGUUGAACGGCCACAUUGGGACUGAGACACGGCCCAGACUCCUACGGGAGGCAGCAUG